AACGAACGCUGGCGGCAUGCCUUACACAUGCAAGUCGAACGGUAGAGUAGCAAUACUCGAGAGUGGCGAACGGGUGAGUAAUAUAUCGGAACGUGCCCAGUCGUGGGGAUAACGUAGAGAAAUUUACGCUAAUACCGCAUACGAUCUAAGGAUGAAAGCGGGGGAUUCGCAAGAACCUCGCGCGAUUGGAGCGGCUGAUAUCAGAUUAGGUAGUUGGUGAGGUAAAGGCUCACCAAGCCGACGAUCUGUAGCUGGUCUGAGAGGACGACCAGCCACACUGGGACUGAGACACGGCCCAGACUCCUACGGGAGGCAGCAGUGGGGAAUUUUGGACAAUGGGCGCAAGCCUGAUCCAGCAAUGCCGCGUGCAGGAUGAAGGCCUCGGUUGUAAC
rnacentral:rRNA from 1 species